UACGUAGGGAGCGAGCGUUAUCCGGAAUUAUUGGGUGUAAAGGGUGCGUAGACGGGAAGAUAAGUUAGUUGUGAAAUCCCUCGGCUUAACUGAGGAACUGCAACUAAAACUGUUUUUCUUGAGUGCAGGAGAGGUAAGUGGAAUUCCUAGUGUAGCGGUGAAAUGCGUAGAUAUUAGGAGGAACACCAGUGGCGAAGGCGACUUACUGGACUGUAACUGACGUUGAGGCACGAAAGUGUGGGGAGCAAACAGGAUUAGAUACCCUGGUAGUCCACACCGUAAACGAUGGAUACUAGGUGUAGGAGAUAUUAAGUCUUCUGUGCCGUCGCAAACGCAAUAAGUAUCCCACCUGGGGAGUACGGCCGCAAGGUUGAA
rnacentral:rRNA from 1 species